rnacentral:snoRNA from 1 species
CUGCAAACUCGAUCACUAGCUCUGUAUGGUGUUGCAGAUGCAAGGGGAACAGGUUUGCUAAAGUAAGCAUGGUAAUAGAAUCAUACUGGUCCUUGGAAAUCAAACUGGGGCUGUUAAUUCUAUACCAUGACAAUU